rnacentral:tRNA from 1 species
AAGAAAAGGGAGCCAAAUUUAAGCCGCUAACUUAAAAUUUUAACGGUUAAACUCCGUUAUUUUCUUU